AAAGUGUUUUUUUCUACAGCAGGUGCUAUGCCACUGUAUUGGGAAUAUGAAGGGAUGGCUGAUAAAUCCCCUCUGAGGUCAGAGAUGGGAGAUUUAUCGUCAGUUGGAGGUAGGAGCCACUGGUUUGGACUCACACGUGAUCUGACCUGAAAGUACCCCAAGCAACAACUCUCGGCAGAAACAGAAAGACACUUCUGCUCUAGCAGGUGCAACACUAAUGGCAAAUGUGAUUUUGCCUUUGCCAUGUGACAUCUACUAUUUGCAACCACUAAACUGCUCACCACUUCCGGAGGAAAAGAUAAGGCUUCCAGACCCAAAUCUACCAAAAGAGGGGGGUGGUUUAAGGCAUUUUUAGACUGCUCAUUAGCAGAAGGUGAGGUUUGCCAUCCUAUGGGCUAAGGGUCUCAUCCUGUACGUCACAGUCACGCAAAGUCUAGCUGGAGACCUAUUUAUGUAUGGCCAGGAAGAUGGAGCCUUUCACUUGCAAGAACUACCGGGUUCUUAAUGCUGUCAGGAAGAAACCACCCCAUCCACACAUGACCACAUUUUCCCCUUCCUCCAUACCUGUGCAGUACUUCCCAGUAUUGAGGACUGCUAAACUCAUAACAUUUUACAGAGACGGGGACAACUUCACCCGGAACGGAACUGAAUGACAGAAGAAAAGAAGAGAGGUAUUGGAAAACUUCUGUUGCAGCGUGGG